UACGUAGGGGGCAAGCGUUAUCCGGAUUUACUGGGUGUAAAGGGAGUGUAGGUGGUUGUGCAAGUCAGGAGUGAAAGCCCGGGGCUCAACCCCGGGACUGCUCUUGAAACUGCGCAGCUUGAGUGCAGGAGGGGCAGGCGGAAUUCCUAGUGUAGCGGUGAAAUGCGUAGAUAUUAGGAGGAACACCGGUGGCGAAGGCUGCCUGCUGGACUGUAACUGACACUGAGGCUCGAAAGCGUGGGGAGCAAACAGG
rnacentral:rRNA from 1 species